rnacentral:lncRNA from 1 species
AAAAUAACAAGGUGAUUUAAUCAUGAAUCAUCUAACAAUUCCACAAUUUAAACCUAACCUAAUAUCUAAGCUAAGCACAUUGAUUAACAUGGUGAUUAAAUGGAAAUUAAAAUCAUGGUCAAAAACAAUAUUAAGAACCCUAAUAACAUUAACCAUGGCCAAAUUAAACAAAUUUUAGAUCACAAAAAAAAUUAAAAUAUAGUAAAAAAUAUAUUAGAAAAUAAUAUGGAAAAAUAUGAGAAAAAAGAAUGGCAAAAAAAUGUAAAAAUGAAUAACAAAAAAGGGUUGGAAUUGUAGACACGGGUGUAAUAAGGAGAUCCAGCGCAUGCCUAACAUGAGGCCCACCGCCAAUUAGCCAUUGGAAACCAGGGGAUUCAUGAGUAAAACAAGGUGAUGUUCAACAAAGUGAUGAUAAUCCCAUACCAAGUAGGCCCAAAAUGUGACAAAGCAAUAUCAAACAAUCACUCAACAUUCCAGUUCCAAUGAAAAUGAUAUUCAAAUUAAAAUGAAAAAAUAAUGCGCCAACUGAAAUUGAAACAUUCAAACACUCAUAUCAAGAAACCACCAACAACCACAACACUAGAGGUUGCCUCCGACAACGGUGGUGCACCAAGGAUCAAAUAAAGACCACCAUCUUAUGCACAAUGACUCACUGGUGAAAAAUAUGGGGAUGAUUUCACGAAAAUCUCACUCAAAAGCUCAAAUCGAAGGCAACGACAUCAAGAACCCUAGAAGUUCUAGGUUAGAUUAAAUGAAAACUAUGAGGAAUCAAGGCCUAGGAUGUUAGGGCUUUGAUUCCUCUUGAAAACCCCUACAUCUCGAUAACCAGGAAAUGAAGAAAUAAUGGAGGUUUGGGAUUACCUCGCCGGAAAAGACGCUCAGAAAAAUGUCUCAAGUAAGUUCUUCCUCUUCCUUUCUCCGCUCUGUCUUGCUGCGAAACCUCUUAUUCUACUUCUUCCUUUCUUGAAUUCGUGAGUGAGAAUGAAUGUUGAGAGAGCUGAAUCGAGGAAAAAUGUUGAGCUGGUGAGGAUCUGUGAUGAUGAAUGAGGGAGGUUGAUGAUGAUCGAACUCCGGGAUUGAAGAUUAUGUAAAUGUGUGAACUCUGAGAGUAUUGAAAUUCUGAGAUGAAUAAGUGAUUGGAGAGAUUCAUGAUUUGAGAGAAGUGAUUAUGAUAUGAAAUGAAUAGUUAGUUCAAUGAUUAGGGAAUGAUAGAUUAUAUAGUUGGUUAAGCCUUGGGAUUUGUGAGAAUCAAUUAGGUUCAGUUGAACUGAAAUUGUUGAAUUCGAGGGUGAGUUUGUUAUUUUCUGUUUUGGUGAUUUGCUGAUGUCGAGGCAAAGUUAACUAGAAUGUUAGUUAGGUGAUGUAACAAUGAUAGUUAGUUGAGGUUCAAUUAGUUGGUAAUGUUAGGUUAGCUGAAAUGUUCAAUGUUAGGGUUAAUUCAAUUUGAAAGUGAUGAUGUGGUUGCAGGCUUGGCUCGAUUUUCUGUCUUGCCAUGAUUAAUGUGCUUGCAAUGUAUUGUUCAAUGUAUGCUAAUGAAAUGGUUGGAAAUGGCCAAGAGUUGUUGAUGCAGAUGCUUGAUUGAUGUGUAAUAUUUAUUGCAGGUUUGUGCUCAACUUGGUGCAGGGUCAUGAUGCAAGGCCUACUAAGUUGGUUUGCAAUGUUGUCUACUGUUUGCCUUGCCUUGCUACAGGUUUGAUGUGUUGUUGCAACUAUAUGGGUGUUAGGUCUGUUUUAGGCUCAUGAACUUGUAUGUGUUGGUCUUGCAACAUGUUUUACUUUUGUGUACAUGUCCUGACUUGGAUGAACAUUCUGGUCUGUUGGUAUGUAUAUGCUAGGUUGGUGUUUGGUAGGCCCUUGGUUGAUUGAACAUGGUUGCUUGGAUGUAUGCUUUGGUCAUGCUUAUAUAUAUGCAAUGUUUGGAAAUGUUGGUUAUGGUUGCUAGGAUGGAUUGUUUUAGUCAUGGUUUAGGUUGUGUCUGAAAGUGAUAAUGUGUUUUUUCAUUUGGUUAUGUGCAUGCUUACUUGGACUUGUAACAUUGCUUGGAUGGUUUCCAUUUUGUAGGAUGACAUGCACAUGGUGACUUGUAAAUGAAGAAACCAUGCUAGAAAAAAGCAAACAUGGAUUUGGAUGGUGAAUCAAGGAAAAUUGGAUUAGGUUAGGUCUUAGGGUGGUAAAGGGGGGUCAAUUGAGUUUGCUCAACGGGUUGACCAAAAAGUCAACUGUUGACCAAAAGUCAAUUGUUAUAAAAAAUAGUCAAACUUGUAAUUUUUUUGUAUGUAUGGACUUUGAAUAAUCAAUGUAUAAAUGAAAUUUGAUAUUUGGUAUUUGUUUAUGAAUGAAUGGAUUUGAAUGAUAUUGUAUGGAAAUGACUUGAAUUGAAUGUAUGGAAAUGAAUUGUAUGGAAA